UACGUAGGGUGCGAGCGUUAAUCGGAAUUACUGGGCGUAAAGCGUGCGCAGGCGGUUUGUUAAGACAGUUGUGAAAUCCCCGGGCUCAACCUGGGAACUGCCAUUGUGACUGCAUGGCUAGAGUACGGCAGAGGGGGAUGGAAUUCCGCGUGUAGCAGUGAAAUGCGUAGAUAUCCGGAGGAACACCGAUGGCGAAGGCAAUCCCCUGGGCCUGUACUGACGCUCAUGCACGAAAGCGUGGGGAGCAAACAGG
rnacentral:rRNA from 1 species